GCCGGUUUAGCUCAGACGGUAGAGCAGCUCACUUGUAAUGAGAAGGUCGCGAGUUCGAUUCUUGCAACCGGCACCA
rnacentral:tRNA from 1 species